AUGCUCACAAACAAACCUGUCCUGUCAUGUGACUGUGAUAGAUGUUGGAAAAAAUGUGAGCAAGAUCAUGAGUAUUGUUUUGGGAGUGUCUCAUCCCAGUAUAUAUGAGACACAACAGUUUUCGGUACGACA
rnacentral:snoRNA from 1 species